rnacentral:misc_RNA from 1 species
GGAUCCUUUACACUAUUUAUUUUUCCCUCCAAAUUUUUCUCAAUUUUUUCAAUUUUAUUACUUUUCAAUAUCAACCGGUCUGCUACUCAUCAAUCGUUGUGAUAUCCAUAUUCGAUUAAAAGUAUGGCUUGAAUGAAAAUUUUCUACCGACGCAUCGCAGCUUUUUAUCGAGAAAAUAAUACACAACAAAAUAAAUGUGUGGUCGAUGAUUCGUCGUUGAGACUAAAAAUAAAUAUUCUCAUCUUCCGGAAGAGGUGGUGUUGAAUGUGAAAAUUUUCUAAAUUUGUCACAACGUUCGGAUAGGUGUACCCACUAAUACGGUAUUACGUAGGUAUGUAAAGUGGUGGUACGAUGCAGCGGCAUCAACUGGGGUAUUCUUGACAGCUAAGCAGCAAGUCGAACCAGUUUCAAAUCUAGUUCUAUUCCGGUGUAACUGGUAAGUUACUGCUCUCCAUAUAGUGUAACGGGAGAUUACGGUAUUGAGGAAAGAGAAAAAGAAAGAAAAAAUGAAAAAGUAAUGUAAAUGAAUACCGUUUUACUAAAUAAAGUGGGUUUGGAUAUUAUGACCUCUGCACCGGAAGUACCAGUGGCCGGGAAUAAAUUAUUCCCUCGAAUACCGACGUCAAGAAAACCCAAUGGAAACUCUGGAGACGGACUUGCAGCCGCCUGUGAACAGCGGAUAAAAUAUACCGAAAAAUUUCCAUAAUUUCAAGGUGUAAAAUGCAUUAUGAUAAAUCAAGACGUACCAUCAACUGUGUAACGACGCACAACUCGAAACGAAUAUCUCAGCGAUGAAAGCACCAGCGAAAAUCAAGAACACAUAGUCGUAGAUAGAAAUAACGUUGCUACGAGGAAUCCUUUGUUUCGUUAUUUCGAAUUUUUUUUUCUCAUCUCAGAAGAGUGAACAAAAUCUUCGAGGCACUUCGCGGGGCGCGAAACUGGCAAUGAGCUAGCAUUAUAAUAUACGCACGA